AUUUAGCUUGUUAAGGUGAUUUACUUUAAAGAGAACAAUGUGUAAGAGAUGGUAGGUUUUAUUUUUAAAUCAAUUAUACAGCUUUUAGUUACAAGUUAGAUAACAUCUUUAUUUUAUAGCUUAUUUUGGUACUUCAUUUAGAUUCUAAUAAAUUUGAAAUGUGUGGAAAUGGACAUGUGAAUCUAAGCAAAAGUUUGAACCUGGAUACCAGGUGUGGCAUGAGGCCAGGCAUUUAGCUUGCCUAAGAGAAGAAAUGAUAUAUACAUUUCACAACAACCCUCUUGCUUCAAGCGAGCUCUCAAUAGCCAGAGAUUUAAGGGAAAAACACACUUCAAACAGGCCACAGUUGUCUUGAUUUUACAACAGGAUUUCAUUCAGAUAAGAUUGAGGUUUGUUUUUUGAAGCACUACCUCCUUACCUUCAGAUUUUAGAUUUAUAGAUGGUUUAUCUUUAAUAUAGAGAUGGGGUUUUGCCAUGUUGCUCAGGCUGGUCUCGAACUCCUGGACUCAAGC
rnacentral:lncRNA from 1 species